UUUGGAUGGUUCUUGGUAUGUGUAUAGUUCAAAGGUCUUCGUGUUCACAUUUUAAAAUUAGGUUUGUAGCCAGUCCU